rnacentral:rRNA from 1 species
GACGAACGCUGGCGGCGUGCUUAACACAUGCAAGUCGAACGGUAAGGCUCCAGCUUGCUGGGGUACACGAGUGGCGAACGGGUGAGUAACACGUGGGUGACCUGCCCUGCACUUCGGGAUAAGCCUGGGAAACUGGGUCUAAUACCGGAUAGGACCAUGGUGUGGAUACUGUGGUGGAAAGUUUUUUCGGUGUGGGAUGGGCCCGCGGCCUAUCAGCUUGUUGGUGGGGUAAUGGCCUACCAAGGCGGCGACGGGUAGCCGGCCUGAGAGGGUGGACGGCCACAUUGGGACUGAGACACGGCCCAGACUCCUACGGGAGGCAGCAGUGGGGAAUAUUGCACAAUGGGCGGAAGCCUGAUGCAGCGACGCCGCGUGGGGGAUGACGUCCUUCGGGUUGUAAACUCCUUUCACCAUCGACGAAGGGUUUCUGACGGUAGAUGGAGAAGAAGCACCGGCUAACUACGUG